UAGGGUUGAAAUGAGAUUUAUUUCUCUGAGUUAGAAGAAAUAAAUAAAGUUGGACAACAAACAAACAAUAGUCGGUGACGGUCAGUUUGUAUCUAAUGAGUCCUUUUUUGUGUUAACAGAGGUCCAGAUGUUUACUGGUAAUUUUUUCCUAAGUGCAGAUCUUCUUGGAGACUUCUGUGCCAUUCCUAACUUUGUGAUUAUAACCAUCUUUAUCUCUUCACCCUCCUUGCUUCCUGCUAGGUAAUUUUGCUUCUUUGGAGAAGUCAAAAGAAAAUAUAUCUUUUUAUUACAAGCAGGAAACCGUGUGCACAGUGAGAAUCCUUCAAUGACAUAUGGCUGCUAAAGUUGUGAUGUCAUAAUCAGCUUAUGAUUUGAGUGGGACACAUACAUGGAUGCCAAACCUUGCUGGUGACUUGGUCCUGAUGUAUUUCCUAACCUUCUGUUGCUAAGUUCAGAAGAAAGGAUGAAUAAGAAGGGGCAGGACAGAAGUACAGAAAGCAAUGAAUGCAGGACAAAAGAUGAAAGAACAAAACUGAGAGCUCAACAGGGGGCAAAGAGAGAAGAUCCUGUCUGUGUAGAUAUAUGCCUCUUGCUUCUGCCAUGAAAUCCUCUGUCUCAGAGCUGCCUUCAGCAGUGCAGAUCCGAAGGUACACAGCACAACUUAUCAGACUUCCUGUGAUGUUUGGAAUUCUCCUUAGGCUCCAGCUGUGGGCAGCAGGCAACACGUGUGGGAAAUUCUUUCCCUUUUCCUUAGAGUAAAUUACAAGUACUUUGGGACUCUGUGAACUGCCUAUAUGUACAGCACAGCGGUACCCUUCUUGGCUGGAGACAGAGGGCAGGUUACAAGUGUAUAUGAUUUCAGAACCUUUAUGAACUUUAACCUGACUUCUUGGUGAACCUGAUGUCUGGAUGUGGGUGACAGCAAGACCUCACAAACAAUUUGGUAUUGCUUGCAUUUGGCAGUCCUGAACAAGUAGGCAGACAUCUGCAAUUUAAAAGAUGUGAUUCACAAGAGGCAGCCACCACUACAUUCACACUGCAGAGAGAGGGAAGCUGGCUUGAGGCCCUGUGUUCCCUGUAUAAAUUGCAAAAGGGAAUGAAAUUCCAAGUAAAUGCUCAGUCUUUUUGAUUAAAUCAAUCUAUUGCCACUACCCAAUGAAUCUUGUG